GCUCCGGUGGCCUAGUGGUUAGAGCAUCCGCCUUGGAUGCGGGAGGUCGUGGGUUCGAUCCCCGGUCGAGUCA